rnacentral:lncRNA from 1 species
GUAGAUUUUACUAGCAACUACCAACAAUGAUAUUCCCCUGUAGUUAGAACACUUAUGUUUAUCACCUUUUUUGUGUAAUGGUAGAAUAGUUGCAAGAGUCCAAUCUCUAGGUAUGCAUCCGGUAUGCCAGCAGCUCCUUAUGAUUUUCCAUAGUAACUGUAAUCCUUCUCCUUCCAUAUAUUUAAUUAGCUCAGCCUUAAUAUUAUCGUGUCCUGCAGCCUUGCCAUUUUUUAAUUUUAAAAUUGCUUCCCUAUAUUCUUCGUAUGUUAUGUCAUCAUUAUCUUGUUGUUCAUUUAAAUUGUACUCCUCCCUGCCAUUCUCUAUUUCGUUGUUGUCUCC